rnacentral:rRNA from 1 species
AUGGAGUCUGGAUCUCGCAGUCCACCUUCGGUCUCGUCGGCUCACCCUCGGGAGCGGCCUAUCGUCUCCGGGCUGGGCCUCACGGGAUCGCUGGGAUCGGCGCGCUCCUCCUCGGCAGAUGGCGGUCAGGCGGUGGGCCCCGCUCCGGUGCUAGCAGAGGGCUGGCGCCGGCCGGGCCCCUCCCGCAAGGCCAUGUGGCGGCGCCGGCGUGCGCUCAGGAGGCAGCUCGAGCCUGGCAUCGGCGCUGGUCGGGAUGCGUCGCCGUCCUCCUCUGAGCGGCGUCUGAUCCCGCCGGACAUGUUCGGCCUCUGCUUCAGGUGUUUCGAGGAUGAUCACCGGCGUCAAGACUGCUCUAACGAGCCCAUGUGCAUCCGCUGCGGCAACGCUGGCCACGUCUCUUCCCAGUGCCGGGAGCCACGCAGCCUCACUUCGGCGGAGGAGCUGCGCCGUGCGGUGAUUGCCAAGGUCGCUCGCAGGACGGUGGCGCCUGGACAGGCAUCGGCCAUUCAACGGAGGCUGUCGGAGCCUAGGCAGAGCGCGCCGGUGGCGCCACUCUCGCCAGUUGCGCCCAGCCUACGCCCUGUGGUUCCAGAGGUUGCCUGGCCGGUGGUGCAGUCCGAGAUCUGCGUGCUGCCGCGCUCGAAGGGGAUGGAUGACCUCAAGCUCCGCUUACGGCUGGCGGUGGUGAUGUAUGUUGGCGGUGCAAGGCCGGCCGUGUCCUGCGACGACGCGGCGGUUGCGAUCUCUGCUCAGAUGGGGAUCCCAAGGUUUUGUUUUUCAGUCCACAAGUUCCACCCGGAGGAUUUCCUGGUCGUGUUCGCGGCGCAUGAAUUCAAGAACAGAGCGUUGGCUGUCCCGUCGAUUGAACACCUUGGAGUCAAGUUCUUCGUCAAGCCAUGGCCCAGGCAGGCGCAAGCUACCUCCAGGUUGAUGCGGGUUCAAGUGGAUGCCAUGAUCGAGGGCGUUCCAUCUCAUGCGUGGACUCAGGAGACGGCGGCUGAGCUGCUGGGGAGCACCUGUUUGAUCGAGAGCCUGGCGCCGGAGACGGCCAGCAGGGAAUAUUUGUCCCUGUUCAAGCUGAGAGCUUGGUGUGUUGAUCAUGAGGAUGUGCCGGUUUUUCGGAAGCUGUGGGUGCCGGAGCCGCCGGAGGUGAUUGCUGACCCAUCGGCUAGGAGAGCAUCGUUCCGCCAGCUCCUGGAGUACCCUGUGUUCAUUCACAUCGGUAGGAUGAGGGACUUCUCGCCGCCGGAGAUGUGGAGGCGUGCUUCAGAAUCGGAUGGAGGAAGCGGACAGAGUGGGUUGGUGGGACCCUCGUCAUGGAGGCUUCCACCAAUGGGGCCGCGUAUGGUAUCGGUCAAGCCUGCUGUGACGUCGCAGCAUGGGACCGUGGUGGGCCUAGAUGUUUCAAACGAGCCAAUCCGGUCGAGCGUAAGGUUGCCCACAGCGCUGGAGACAGCUGGACAGUUGGCGCUGGCUACGCAGAUCUGCCCUGCCAGGCCUGAGAUGGUUGAGGUGGCCCAGGCGAUGGCUGGCCCAGGUGCAGAUCUGGUCAGGCAGGGGGACGCCAGGACCGAGGCCGAGGCGGUGCGGCUAGCGUUGGCCAAUGAGAACGCGGUAGAAGCGGAUGAGGACAUGGGAGUGGAUCACAGGCCGGUCGUGGUAGGGCCGCUGCUGCCCGACCAUUCUGCGGCUUCCGAUGGAGAGGGGACAGUCGGGCCCGAUCCAAAGCUGACACAGGCGGUGCCUUUGCCUACUGCGGAUCCGGUGCGGCCGGCUGGGCCGGACGUUGGUGGAGUUGCUGCCAAGGGUGGGGUAGACGCGGCACAGGAGAUCCUAGCUGCAGAGGAUGGGCCAACGCUGCUUUCGGGAGGAUGGGCACCUAUCUCGGAGCUGAUUGGCGAUGCGGACCAGGGGCUGCACCUACCCCCUCCCGGGACAGAAUCCGCUUUGGAGCUCGCGCCAGGGAACCAGACCCCGCUGGCAAGCAGGGUUGCAUGUGAUGGGACUACGUAUGAAGGCCAUGCAGAUUUUGGCGCGUUGCAUGGUGGAGAGAUUGUGGUACAUGGGGAGGUGCGGGACGUGCAUACCACGGAGGAUCGCUUAUCUGUCAAGGAGAAGGCAGCGCUGGGCAACAUAAAAUCCUUCUGUGCGGGGCUGCUAGAGAAACUAGCUCCUCCGCUACUGAAGGAGAUCGAAGUCGUGAAGGGUGUACGUGCCGGGCAGGACCCUUUCACGCCUAGAUGGACUACACGAGCUGUUUGCGCGUCUGGCGCGAGGAAGAACAACAUGACAGCGGCCGAGUCGGUCCUGCUUAAAGUGUUGGGCAUCACCAGCGAUGAUCUGGCGGUCUUAGAGGAUGCGCUAGGUCAGCUGAGGGCGGUCUUUGAUUCACCUGUCCAAGAGAAGCAGCCGCGGGCUAUUGCAGCCAUUUUCAGGAAGAUCAUGCCAAGCAACUUGGCCGGUGAGAUGGAGAGCACGGUGAUCCUGUCUGCCUAG